UUAAAUUGAAGAGUUUGAUCAUGGCUCAGAUUGAACGCUGGCGGCAGGCCUAACACAUGCAAGUCGAACGGUAACAGGAARCAGCUUGCUGYUUYGCUGACGAGUGGCGGACGGGUGAGUAAUGUCUGGGAAACUGCCYGAUGGAGGGGGAUAACUACUGGAAACGGUAGCUAAUACCGCAUAACGUCGCAAGACCAAAGAGGGGG
rnacentral:rRNA from 1 species